rnacentral:lncRNA from 1 species
AUGCAGGUGAAUAUAUGUCCACUUAGCAUGUUUUUGAGCAGUAAUAUGUCCCCCUUCCUCCCCCAGGACUCUCUGCCUUUUAACCCUCCCAUGCCCAGCGGAUGCACGCCUGUGAUUUCGCUGUCACACAGCUCCGAGGAGCCAAUCCCCAUAGUAACAGGGCAUCCACACGUGAAUUCAGAACUGCAGCAGGUCCCAGCACUGCAGCGCUCAGCAUGGGCAUGUAGGCAGCACCAGGGUGCAUGUGCAUAUGUGUAUAUAAAAGCAAUCCGUGCUUGCUCAGCAAAUAUCUGCACCAGGCAGGACCAUGGAUGGGCAAGGAUCGCCAUUUAUAAAACCUCAAGAGAAACAAACCCCACUUGCCCACUUGAAGACCUUCUCCUCCACUGAUACAUUCUUCAUGCUUGGGAAGGUAAUACGUUGACUGAGAUAUAAAACCUGAACACACCGUGAAACAGAAAUGUAGCACAAGAAGGCAUAUACUGGUGAUACCGAUUAAUUACAGGGAAGCACGUAACACGACAACAGCUACCUCUCUUUUCUGAAAUAAAUAAAUAAAUGCUAAAUUGUCA